rnacentral:misc_RNA from 1 species
GAAAUGCGAUAAGUAAUGUGAAUUGCAGAAUUCAGUGAAUCAUCGAAUCUUUGAACGCACAUUGCGCCCGCUAGUAUUCUAGCGGGCAUGCCUGUUCGAGCGUCAUUUCAACCCUCAAGCUCUGCUUGGUGUUGGGGCACUACGGCUGCCGUAGGCCCUGAAAGGAAGUGGCGGGCCCGACGCGACUCCGAGCGUAGUAGAAUCCUAUUCUCGCUAGGGAGGCCGCGGCGGCGCUCCUGCCGUUAAAGACACCAUCUUUAACCCCAAGGUUGACCUCGGAUCAGGUAGGAAUACCCGCUGAACUUAA